rnacentral:rRNA from 1 species
GACGAACGCUGGCGGCGUGCUUAACACAUGCAAGUCGAGCGGAAAGGCCCUUUCGGGGGUACUCGAGCGGCGAACGGGUGAGUAACACGUGAGUAAUCUGCCCCUGGCUUUGGGAUAGCCACCGGAAACGGUGAUUAAUACCGGAUACGACCACUUCUCGCAUGGGAUGGUGGUGGAAAGUUUUUCGGCCAGGGAUGUGCUCGCGGCCUAUCAGCUUGAUGGUGAGGUAAUGGCUCACCAUGGCUUCGACGGGUAGGCGGCCUGAGAGGGUGACCGGUCACACUGGGACUGAGACACGGCCCAGACUCCUACGGGAGGCAGCAGUGGGGAAUAUUGGACAAUGGGCGGAAGCCUGAUCCAGCAACGCCGCGUGAGGGAUGACGGCCUUCGGGCUGAAAACCUCUUUCAGCAGGGACGAAGCGCAAGUGACGGUACCUGCAGAAGAAGCACCGGCCAACUACGUGCCAGCAGCCGCCGUAA